UACGUAGGGAGCGAGCGUUAAUCGGAAUUACUGGGCGUAAAGCGUGCGCAGGCGGUUAAAUAAGCCAUAUGUGAAAGUCUGUAGCUCAACUAUAGAAUUGCAUAAGGAACUGUGUAACUAGAGUGCAGGAGAGGUAAGUGGAAUUCCUAGUGUAGGGGUGAAAUGCGUAGAUAUUAGGAGGAACACCAGUGGCGAAGGCGACUUACUGGACUGAAACUGACGCUGAGACACGAAAGCGUGGGGAGAAAACAGG
rnacentral:rRNA from 1 species